UCGAGGAUCUUUUGCAAUGGGCGAAAGCCUGACAAAGCGACGCCGUGUGAACGAAGAAGGCCUUCGGGUUGUAAAGUUCUUUCGCAUGGGAACAAGAAAAGCAUACAAAUAGUGUGUUAAUUUGAGAGUACCGUGUAAAGAAGCACCGGCUAACUCCGUGCCAGCAGCUGCGGUAAUACGGAGGGUGCAAGCAUUAAUCGGAAUAACUGGGCGUAAAGGGCGCGUAGGCGUUUAAGUAAGUUGUAUGUGAAAUUUCAUAGCUUAACUAUGGAGCGGCAUACAAAACUACUUGAAUAGAGGAUAGGUGAGGAAAAGGGAAUUCCACGUGUAGCGGUGAAAUGCGUAGAUAUGUGGAGGAACACCAGAGGCGAAGGCGCUUUUCUAACCUAUACCUGACGCUGAGGCGCGAAAGCAAGGGGAGCAAACAGG
rnacentral:rRNA from 1 species